UGUGCGACCAGCGAAACAACCGCAAACGGUUCUAGAUUGAAUUCAUUUAAGCAUCUGCCGAAGCAGCACAGCAACUGAAACUUAUAGAAAUAAACUCUGGCUGCUGCUACCAGUGAUGCUUGGACUCAUGUGGAGAGAGUGGCGUUAGGUUUAGCAACAUUUUAUAAAAAGACUGAAUAUUGUUGUAAAAGUAGAGAUUAAGCCUGCUUGCUUUUUUUUAUCUCAGCCAGUGGCGUCAAAUUUUUAGGCCUAUACGUUUUGUAAAAACCAUAGGCUACUCCUUGCUGCUGUUAUGGAUAUAUUUAAAAAGUCGGAAGAGACUGCUUUGUAUGGGAUUGUUAUGUUAAAGGUCUUGGCACAUUAUAAAUUCAUUUCCCCCUCAAUGGUUGUGACGGGGUUUAUAGGUAAAGGCUUUUUCAGACAGCUUGGAUCCGCGGGGUCGCUCUGCGCUCCUCAGAACUCAACAGACAGGCAGACAAGCGCUCUAUGGGUGGUAACAAUUGCAACGGCUUCUGUGUACUGUUGGGCGCGGCGGCGGGCGGGGGCAGCUGAGGCUGCAGCCUCAUGAUAAACAGUCCCAGCCCUGUCCCAACAUUACCUUAUCCAUCACGUCUCAGCAUGCUCAACACAUAACAUUACAUUAUAGGACCCACCACUCUCGAUAGUAGUAUUGAUAAGCUCGGACCUUUUUGAUUUUCGGCUUUUGAGAAAUUGUGGAACCGGGUCUCGAUCCCCAUCCCUACUUACCACUAGCUAAACUGAUUAGCAUGUUAGCCGACAUAUAAGUUAACCAACUAAGUUGUCACCGAGAUUCUGGUCGGGUCUUUAAACUAUUGCAGUUACUGUUUGUACCAAACGCAGGCAUGUGAUUGGACAAAAAAAGCAGGACAAUAUACUGAGAUACUGAUCGGUUCAGGAGGUAUUGAUAACGGAUAGCUGAUUGAUUGUGUCUGUAUCUGCCAGUCUUCACUCAGACCCCGAUCCUUCAGGCUCUGCUGCACGUUCAGGCCAGCGGUGACGAGGACACGCACGCACUCACACACUGACGGGUGACAUCACUGCGGCAGCUGUUGAUAUCACUUCCUCCUCCUGCAGGAGUACGAAGACUCCCAGACAAAGCCUCCUAAGUCCUGCCGUGAGGCUCUGGCCUCCUCGCCUCGCUCCCGGAAAGGAGCAGCUCAGGAGCGCCUCGGUACGUAGCCCCACCUCCACCUGUGUGAAGACAACCUGAAUCUGUGUCUCGUUCUUGGAUUGGUCCGUUUCAAAACCACACGGAAAUAUUUUAAUAUGUUUUGAUUUGUGAAACCAGGAAGCAGCUUUGUGUCUUCACCAAGCAGGAACCUCCAGGUUUGAAAAGUGAAGCCUCAAACCUGCAUUCUCUCUAACAUAAGUCACUAUGUGUGACCGAAAUAUGGAUGUUCAGGACGGAGCUGAACACCUUUUCUCAGCUGGACAGCCCCCCUCUCUGUUCUAUUGCAGGUUUCGUAUUUCUCACCCACGAAGUGCCCAUUAAACAAAAGCCAUAUCGUGUAUCAUCAACCAAGCGUCAGACAAUUAAAGAGCAUGUGGAGGAAAAGUUGAAAAAUAACAUCAUAGAGCCAUCAACCUCACCUUAUGCUGCUCAAGUGGUCUUGGUACCAAAAAGAAUGAUGCCAAACCAAGUGCGAAAAUGAACCAGACAUUGCUGUGGUCACUGACACUGACGUUCCUGGUGCGAUCCACUUUAACCCAAGUGAAAGGUGGCUGUGGAUGGAUCUGUCUGCUUCUCUGGGGAUGGUGAUGGCGCUGUGGAUAAGACAUAUGCCUUUGGUGUGACAGACCUGGGUUUGAUUCCACACUGACACAUCCACCAAUGUCUCCCUAAGCAGUACACUUAACCCUUAGUUGCUCCAGAGGCGUGCGACCUCUGACAUAUAUAGCUAUUGUAAGUUGCUUUGGAUGAAAGUGUCAGCUAAAUGAAUAAAUGUAACAUUUACAAACUCCUGAAAGCACCUCUGAACUGUCCAUCUAUAUACUCAGUAUGUUUACUGCAAGUUUACAGCGAGGGAUAUUCAAAGCAAAGGUUUCUGCUCACUGUUCUUUUUUUAUAUUGUUCCAUUACCUCUUCUAUGUGACUUAACAAUUUGGGAUUGUGGGAUUUCUUAUUUUAAACAAUCUUUAUUAGCUAUCUUUAUUUGUUUAUGACUCCAUAAAAGUUUAAUUUCUUUUAUUUAUUUAUUUUAAUUUAUUGGUCAUUUUUUUCUUACUCCGCAUUUAAAGCUCCCUUUUAUAUUAUAUAAGUAAAAGUGCUGCUGAUGGAAUAAAAUGAUGCAUUUCACAAAACACAGUAAAGUAAGUAGUAAAAGGAAAUUUUGUUUAGCUCAAAGGACUUUGCUCAAGAGAUUCAAGUUAUUAUCACUUAACACCAAAAAAAUCUCAUUAAGAAUCUGGAAAUAGAGAAUGUUCAACAUUAUUGCAAAUAAAAAAUGAAAACAAACUGAUUAUCACAGUUGUUGCAGGUUAUUUAUCUGAUCAAGCAGUCAGUUACUUACAGCUUUAUGCAAGAUGUGCCUUAUUUUGUGUCCAUUAAAUGUAGAAAUGACAGAAGAUGUUUAAAGUUUUGAUUUUGAUUGUUUACUAGAACUUGAACUGUAAUAAUGGAGUUGUAUUCAUAUUUUUGAGGACUGCUAUUUGAAAAUGGGGAUUUUGUAAAUUUGAAGUUGACUAGCAGUCAUUUUGCUGAAGGAGUUUCCAUUAGUAUUUGAGUCUAGCACAAUACAUUUUUUUGAGUAGAUU